rnacentral:rRNA from 1 species
GACGAACGCUGGCGGCGUGCUUAACACAUGCAAGUCGAACGAGAAUUUAGCGGACUAAUCUUUCGGGAGAAGGAAGUUGAAGGAAAGUGGCGAACGGGUGAGUAACACGUGAGCAACCUACCUUACACAAAGGGAUAGCCACUGGAAACGGUGAUUAAUACCAUAUGAGACCACGAUAUCGCAUGAUAAUUAAGUUAAAGAAUUUCGGUGAAAGAUGGUCUCGCGUCUGAUUAGCUAGUUGGUAAGGUAACGGCUUACCAAGGCGACGAUCAGUAGCCGGAUUGAGAGGUUGAACGGCCACACUGGAACUGAGACACGGUCCAG